ACUGCAUGCCAACAUCCUGCAAGUCGAUAGACCUGCAGCAUCUCUGGCAGUCACCAGUAACUUCAUGAGGAAAGCUGGCUGCUUGGAAAGAAGAAAGUGAGGCCUGAGAACCUGCCAGGAUCCAGACUUAUCUCCACGGCUAGUGAAGUGGGAAGAUGCUUUUGCACAGGGAAGCUACUCAUCUUUCUUGUCACCCACGUUGGCUGUUUCCAGAAAGGAUUAUAUUAUACAUGUGUAUGUGUGCAUGAAUAUGUGUGUGUGCACAUGUGCAUGUGAGUGUGUUUACUCACCUGCGUGGAGAACACUUGUAGGUUAGAGGGUGACAUCAGGUGUCUUCCUCAGGGUCCCUUACUGGGUCUGGAGCUCUGUAUUUAGGUCUGGCUUGCUGGCCAGUGAACCCCAGAAUCUGCCUGUCUCUUCAACCCAGAACUAGAAUUACAGCAGUGAACCGGAUCCUGGGAUGAAACGUUGGGAGAUUUUGUCGUGUCUCAGUGGCUAUGCCUUGUGGGAAGCUCUUCCUGACAAUUCAGACCUAAGAUGUCGGUGCCGAUUGAUGACGGCGUCUUUGUGCACCAGCCCUUCCUUUCCCAAUUUACUCCACCAGGGUGUGGUCAAGACAGAAUGGGAUAAGACCUAUGAUGUGUAUGGUGUUCAGUUUUCUACAUCAAGUCAUAGACCUGAGGUUUCAGCCCCUGAUGCUUAUGGCCUGUGCCCAGGUAGCUCCUCAGGACAUGCUGUGUGUGAAAGUGAAGCCAGUCACUUCUUGACUAUGAUAUAAAGGAAGGAGCCAUGGUCCCACUAACCUCCUGGAAGGUAGCAUUUCUUAAAGAAGCA
rnacentral:lncRNA from 1 species